rnacentral:rRNA from 1 species
UACAUAGGGGGCAAGCGUUAUCCGGAUUUACUGGGUGUAAAGGGAGCGUAGACGGCGAUGCAAGUCUGAAGUGAAAGGCGGGGGCCCAACCCCCGGACUGCUUUGGAAACUGUAUGGCUGGAGUGCAGGAGAGGUAAGUGGAAUUCCUAGUGUAGCGGUGAAAUGCGUAGAUAUUAGGAGGAACACCAGUGGCGAGGGCGGCUUACUGGACUGUAACUGACGUUGAGGCUCGAAAGCGUGGGGAGCAAACAGG